GAUGAAGAACGUAGCGAAAUGCGAUAAGUAAUGUGAAUUGCAGAAUUCCGUGAAUCAUCGAAUCUUUGAACGCACAUUGCGCCCCCUGGCAUUCCGGGGGGCAUGCCUGUCCGAGCGUCAUUUCUGCCCUCCAGCCCGGCUGGGUGUUGGGCGCUGUCCCCCCGGGGACACGCCCCAAAGGCAGUGGCGGCGCCGCGUCGGGUCCUCGAGCGUAUGGGGCUUUGUCACCCGCUCGGGACGGACUCGUCGGCGCUGGUCUUCCUCCAGGCGACCCUUCGGGGCUCGUCUUCCUUCGGUUGACCUCGGAUCAGGUAGGGUUACCCGCUGAACUUAAGCAUAUCAAUAAGCUGAGGA
rnacentral:misc_RNA from 1 species